UAAGCGAUAUAGAUAUACUUGCUCGGGCUAAAAUAGCAACUUAAAAAUUCAAUUUCUCAAUAAAUAUUGCUAGUCGCCAAAAAUCCUUUUAGGGGAAGUCUUAUAUUGUUAUAAAGAAGCAGUAUGCAAAAUUUCAGCUCAAAAUUCGGUUUCCGCUUUUCGAAAGUUUAUCCAACCUCGAAACUUCGACGGCUUCAAAACAUAUUAAAUUUGUAGAUAACUCGGAUUCUUUCUAUUCUACACGUUUCAGGAGGGUUUAAUUGGACUUUGCAGAAAAAAGUUAUUUUUUUAUACACUGUUUAAAUAUGGAAAAAAUGCAAUUGAAUGUUGACAAAAUACGCGUUGAGAACCGCUUUUAGAAAGAGACGCACUGUAUGCUUUGCCGUUCGCACUCAUAGAGAGGUCCUCUCUAUCGUCCGGCAUACAUGCGACAAAAUACGAUAGGCUCGGAAACACAAGUCCGUAGCGUCUGUAAAUCUGAACACUGAAAAGCGUAGGGGCAGAACAAACAACAUACUUGGAUGCUAGCUGGUGCACCGACUUCCCAAACUUUGAUGCACCGAUCUUUGGCAACGGUGUAACGUCUCUUGUCCGAUCUUUGAAGGACAAUUGCACAAAUAGUGGAAUGAUGAUCAUGAAGGAUCAUGCUCGGGUUUUGCGUUACGAAAGGAUUCCACAUGCGAACGGUACAAUCGGGACCUCCGGUCAACAACAAUUGAGUUUCUUUGGGAAAAGUCAAACAUUUUUCAUCAGGACUACGAUCGACGAUUGUCAGGUUUUCCAAUGAUUCAUAUCGAACCUUCGCAAAAGUGACUGUAAAAGGACGUGUUGCUUUGGAUAUGGGGACCCAUGAGCUCUUGAUAACGGAGCUCGUACAGAAAUUUACUGGCCAAUUUGCAGCCCGCAGAAAUAGCAGCGCUUUUGUCAGCGUUGGUCUUUCAGCGUGGCGGUGAUAACACGUUGUCGCAACUUCCGCUUUUAAAAGAGAGUUGCCAAAUGAUGGAAUCAGUGAGAGGGGAAAUCGAGCAAAUGGAACAAAAGUAUGGGGUUGAACCGGUGGAACCUUUGAAUUUUGACCUCGUCGAGGUCGUCUAUGAAUGGGCAAGGGCCGAAUCGUUCUCUAAAAUAAUGGAGCUACCUAAUAUCCAAGAGAGAAUAAUAGUGCUAUGCAUACAAUUGAACGAUACUUUGUGAGAGGUUAAAACUGCCGUGACGAGGAUCGGUUAAACUGUGCUGAAGGAAAAAAUGGAAGAAGCAUCGACAGCGGUCAGAAGAAAUAAUGUUUUUACAGCUUCUUUGUAUACCCAUGAUUGAAAUUUUUUUACACACGCGUUUAUAACGAACAGUUUUAUUCUAUCAGAAUUAUAUAACCGACCAAUUCGCGACGAAAUGUUCAAAAUUCUUGAAAUGUUCUUGCAUUUUUGUACAUGUUCAAAAUUCAGAGAUAUUCAAAUAGAAGAACAAUUUUGAUAAAAAUGUCUUUUAGCUCGAUGAAAAUGGUCAGUUUCGGAAAAAAAAAGAAAAAAUGGUCGUCUUGAAUGUUCCAAAUGAGAGUUUGUUCAGAAAAUCAAGAAAUUUUACAUUAUUGAAAAUAAUGAUUCGAAACAUAAAAAAGGUGUCUGGAUUUCCGCAUAUUUUGAUGUUAAAAUUCUGAUGGAGUAAAAUUUCAAUCGAGACACGUUCUCGGAAAAAAUACGUCGUGUCGACGAUGAAAAUAUUUUCAACGUGGAAAGUGAUAUCGUGACAAAUAAAAGUGACUCUUUUAACGAAUAA